rnacentral:SRP_RNA from 1 species
GCCGGGCGCGGUGGCUCACGCCUGUAAUCCCAGCAGCACUUUGGGAGGCUGAGGCAGGUGGGUCACCUGAGGUCAGGAGUUUAAGACCAGCCUGGCCAACAUGGUGAAACCCUGUCUCUA